rnacentral:rRNA from 1 species
GAUGAACGCUGGCGGCGUGCUUAACACAUGCAAGUCGAACCGAAAGGCCCAAGCUUGCUUGGGUACUCGAGUGGCGAACGGGUGAGUAACACGUGGGUGAUCUGCCCUGCACUUCGGGAUAAGCCUGGGAAACUGGGUCUAAUACCGGAUAGGACGAUGGUUUGGAUGCCAUUGUGGAAAGUUUUUUCGGUGUGGGAUGAGCUCGCGGCCUAUCAGCUUGUUGGUGGGGUAAUGGCCUACCAAGGCGUCGACGGGUAGCCGGCCUGAGAGGGUGUACGGCCACAUUGGGACUGAGAUACGGCCCAGACUCCUACGGGAGGCAGCAGUGGGGAAUAUUGCACAAUGGGCGCAAGCCUGAUGCAGCGACGCCGCGUGGGGGAUGACGGCCUUCGGGUUGUAAACUCCUUUCGCUAGGGACGAAGCGUUUUUGUGACGGUACCUGGAGAAGAAGCACCGGCUAACUACGUG